CCUACGGGAGGCAGCAGUGGGGAAUUUUGGACAAUGGGGGAAACCCUGAUCCAGCCAUGCCGCGUGCAGGAUGAAGGUCUUCGGAUUGUAAACUGCUUUUGUCAGGGACGAAAAGGUUUCGGUUAAUACCCGAAACUGCUGACGGUACCUGAAGAAUAAGCACCGGCUAACUACGUGCCAGCAGCCGCGGUAAUACGUAGGGUGCAAGCGUUAAUCGGAAUUACUGGGCGUAAAGCGUGCGCAGGCGGUUCCGUAAGAUAGAUGUGAAAUCCCCGGGCUUAACCUGGGAAUUGCAUUUAUGACUGCGGAACUGGAGUUUAUCAGAGGGGGGUGGAAUUCCAAGUGUAGCAGUGAAAUGCGUAGAUAUUUGGAAGAACACCAAUGGCGAAGGCAGCCCCCUGGGAUACGACUGACGCUCAUGCAC
rnacentral:rRNA from 1 species